CCUUCUAAAAUUAAAAGAAAACCAACGCUUGGUUCCCAGUUUUGUCGACGACUGUAUCACAAAGUUCUGCUCAGACAUCUUGCGGCGCUCACAAAAUUGUUCUCCUGGCAAGCGGGGAGGUUGUGCUGUUACAAGGAAAGGAGGGCCGUCUGCUCUCUGACGAACGGGACCGGUCUGCGGCUGCAGACACCACUCGUGGCCGAGCUGGGCCAGUGACAGGACUAACUGGGAAAGCGCAGCAGCCGGAGUGGGCAGCCAACGAGGUGCCAGCAGCACGGGGCACUCGCCGGCUUUGGCUGCCAAGGGCAUUGGAAAACCUGGAAAAUCUGAGGGAGUGGGACGUGGGCCAUCAUGACUCACGCGAUGCAGCAAUACUUACAAAAUCCUUCUUAGAAAUAGUCUUGUAGCAGCGGCAGGCCUUUCACCAAAAUCAACGUUCCAGUUUCCACAAAGAACACCGCUGUCCUCAUCCCUGCCCCGGCUCUUUGAAGCUAAGGCUCUGUGAAGGCCACGCAAAGCAGCGUCUGGCAAUUUGGCCUUUUUUUUUUUCAGUUGCUAAGGGUAGUCUAGCGUUACCCUUACAGAGCAGCAAGGUCUGGAGGUCACACUCAUCUCCCAUGGGGGUUCAUUCCACAGGUGAGGCCUCUUCCUUCUCUCCCUCUUUUCCACAGACUCUCCCCUCCAGGCGCCGCUCUGAGCUUGUCACCCUGCGCUUUGUCUGCUUCAAAAGCAGCCUCAAAAGGCAUUUAAACAAAGAACUCGCCAACACCUCGCUCACCUGUGGCUUGCCUUGCCGCAGAGCACAACGCCGUUCAGUGCACAGCUCUAGGCCUGCUUUCAGUCCUUACGUAACGACAUUGAGGGCGAGGAUCCAAACCUUGCAGGCAGUCCACGGGAGCCUUCGGCCUCGCUUCAUCUCCAUCUGCUGCAGGGUUUGGGGCAGGCACAGCCCCAGGCACAGACAAAGCCAGCGCCAGGGCUGCAGCGAGCACUUCCUACCAUGCUCCCACACGAGACAGAGUAUUGAAGGAGAAAUGGAUUUCAGCCCCAUCCUUGGCUUCUGCAGGAAGCCAACACCAGUGCCCACAAACAGUCGUGGCCCUCACAAGACUUGAAAGCUUGUGACUGGCUUUUUGCCCAUCAGAUGAAAAAAUCAGAUCCCAACACAAUGCUUCAUCCCUCAGUGCCAGCAGACGAUCUGAGAUUUAAUCAACCUCUGAAGAGGAGAUCUCCUGAUACCUGUAGUUAUCUAUUUAUUGCUUUCUCUGGAUAAAAUCCACUUACUAGGGCUGCAGCUGCUUUACAUCCAUCUAUGCUGGCAGCGUUAUUCCCUGCGCCCUGCUGCGAGCCCCACAAGGUGCCCCAAGGCCAAGCCCAUCAUCCUGCCCGGUCGCAGUGUUUCAGCACAGCCACAUGCGGGGGUCCAGGCACCCAUCACGAGGUGGUUCAGCCGCAUUCAUCCUUCAAAAAGCCUCUUGGAAAGGUCAUCUGUGGUCAGCCGAGCUAAAGCUGUGGUCAGCCAAGCUGAAGCUGUGGUCAGCCAAGCUGAAGCUGUGAACACCUCUGUGACCACAUAGCUGAAAGCUGCAGCCAGGCCCUUCUGCCCCAAAUAAACCCCCUAAACCUGGGGUCCUGGGGACACUGCAACAGCCAGAGGAGUGGUUCCUCCAGCCCCGAGAUGCUCCGUUUCCCUCCCUUGCACAGCACGAGAAAGUUUUGCCCACCAAACAGUUUGCCACUGAGACCCUAUUGACUCCAUGCCACGCGCAGCCCCGCUGUCUGCCAUCACCCGAGGUAACAAGUUGCAAAGAGCACGCAUAUAUUUUUUUUAAACCCAGCACACAGCAAACACCUCUUAAUUCAAUUGGUUGAAUUGACACAGAGAGAUUAUUAGUUUUCAGUAAGAUUUGAUUAAAUUAAUUAGCUUGAAAAUAUCAGCACAGCCAGGCAAGCAAAGAAAAACAGAGAUAAAUCCCUGCCAUAGCACUGCUUCAUCUUUUAAAGGCAAUUAAUUCUUAGUUAUUAGCUUUUAAUUAGGGAAUAAUAAUGACACCAUUAAUACAGUUUAUUAUACUUGUCAGCAGACAGCUGUUCCAAACAGAUUUUAUUAUCAGAUCUUGGCGGCUUUUGUCUGCUCUGCUCCCCCUCUUAGCAGGCAUCCCCAGAGGGUCCUCCGGGACUGCAAAGGAGUGGGUGCCUUGCAUAAUUCUCAUGGCUUUAUUUUAUUUUAUUUUAUUUUAUUUUAUUUUAUCUAACCUUUAUAAACUGCUUUCUCUCUCAGAGAAUCCUGGCGGCAGCAGGAUCCAGCCUUGACAGUGCAUUUGAUGUCUCUCUCACGGGUAAUUCACACGCCUUUCUGUCUGUGGUUCUGGGGGGAGAGGCUGGAUCUGUGCCAAAGCUGGUUUCACACCUCGGCUCCUGACAUCUGAGACGGCAUCCAACACGCAAAACAUUUAAGAUGCCAAAAAAUUCACUGUUUUGUUUUGUUUUCUUCUGAGCUUAGCCAUCUCUUUGGAAGCACCAUGUUCAUUUAGAACACAGUAGAAAUGAUUUGGAAGCAAAUAAUAAUUUUAAGUAAAUCAAGCAUUCCAAAUAAGUUUACCCAUUCUUAAUCUCAUUCCACCCUACUGCUGAGUGCCUAUCACUAGGAGAAGGCAGCUGCAAAGGGUGAAAGAAAUACCAUGUAAUACUCUUUAUUUUCUUGCCCCAAAUUUACCCUGAAAGUGUAAACUCCAAAUCCUUUAAGACGAACCUCUACCACACUAUCAGCAGCAAGCUGCCUCAAGUUUUCAUUGAUGCUUUAUUACUUCUUUGUCUGCUGUGUCACUAAAAUAAAAUAUCCAUAAGACUCAUAAUUACACAUGCUAUCACACAUACAGGAAAGCACAUGUUCUCCUUAUUUUCACCAUCACCCUUUUUCACUGUGUCCUAGACAGAGCUGUUGCAACUCCCUGGCAGAGGCUGCAAACUACUCCCAGGGCAGAGGCCUUUCCUAGCUGUGCUUUACUAUUCCUCUAUAAGAGAGUCUCAAACCCAGUCAUGUAUGCAGGAUGCCACUGUAACACAAAAAUGUAAUGCCAUACAUCUCCCUGAUUUACUCUGGAGUUAAUAAAUCACAGAAACACUACAGUGUAAAAUAGCGUGUUGGGUUCCGCUACCUUGAUUUAAUUUUUUUUAACCUCGCUCUGGACUGGAAGAAGCCCUAAAGGAAAUUCCAGGUUGCCAGGAGCUUGGAGGCUCAGGUCAGCAGGAGAGAACACGCUCCCCAGCACCGAAAGCCUGUUCGUGGCAGGCAUCUUCCUCCUCGCUCAACACAGUGCAGC